GGAGCAUCAGAAGCUGAACCACUUCCCCGGCUCCUUCCAAAUUGGGAGGAAGGACCGUCUGUGGAGGAACCUCUCUAAGAUGCGAGCUCGCUUCGGGAAGCAGGAGUUCAGCUUCUUCCCUCGCUCCUUCAUCCUGCCGCAGGACAUCAGGCUGCUGCGGAGGGCCUGGGAGGAUGCAGGGGCGCGGCAGAAGUGGAUCAUCAAACCUCCUGCCUCUGCCAGGGGAACAGGUAUCCAGGUCAUCUAUAAGUGGUGUCAGAUGCCAAAGAAGAGGCCCCUACUGGUCCAGAAGUCAGUAUGACCGACAACAUGACUAUCAGCACUAUAGAA